UCGAGAAAUGUGCAGAAGGUGGCGAAUUGGAUGGAGUGAGGGGAUUAGGAAAAGAAAGUUUUAAGAACUGCAUAUUAUAUUCUUCCUCUGAAUAUGGCGAGAUGAGAACAAAAUUUAGAGGCAGUCUAGGGGAAUAAAGUUACCAUAGUGUCAUAAAGGAGGGGAAUAAAGUUAACAUAGGGUCAUAAAGCAGUGUCUUCUUUGUUGGACUCUUCUAAAGAAGCUGUAUACAAAUAUGGGAUCUCUGAUCAGAAGCAGAUAUAAUCGGGUGAAUUAGGCUCAGAUAUGG
rnacentral:lncRNA from 1 species